CCCAGGGGGGCACCGAGCCCGGAGCUGACAACGCCAACGACACCAUCAUCCUGCGGAACCUGCACCCUCAGAGCAGCCUGGAGUCCAUCCUGGCCGCCCUGGCCCCCUUCGCGGCGCUCUCGGCCGCCAACGUGCGCGUGAUCAAAGAUCGGCAAACGCAGCUGAACCGCGGCUUCGCCUUCGUGCAGCUCAGCACCAUCGUGGAAGCUGCACAGCUGCUGCAGAUGCUGCAGGCCCUGCACCCACUCCUGCACAUCGAUGGCAAGAGCAUCAAUGUGGAGUUCGCCAAGGGCUCCAAGAGGGACGUGCAGGGGGCGGGGCCUGGGGAGGGGCCCCCCCGCGCCAGCGCCGCCUCUGUCGCCUCCACGGCCAUCGCUGCUGCCCAGUGGGCUCUGUCACAGGUGAGGGCAUGCCUGGGCAGGUGAGGGGCACUGUCACAGGUGAGGGCACACCUGGGCAGGGGAGGACACACCUGGGCAGGGGAGGGGCAUUGUCACAGGUGAGGGCACACCUGGGCAGGGGAGGACACACCUGGGCAGGGGAGGGGCAUUGUCACAGGUGAG
rnacentral:lncRNA from 1 species